UACGUAGGUGACAAGCGUUGUCCGGAUUUACUGGGCGUAAAGAGCGCGCAGGCGGUCGUUCAAGUCGAGUGUGAAAGCCCCCGGCUCAACUGGGGAGGGUCACUCGAUACUGAUCGACUCGAAGGCAGGAGAGGGUAGUGGAAUCCCCGGUGUAGUGGUGAAAUGCGUAGAUAUCGGGAGGAACACCAGUGGCGAAGGCGACUACCUGGCCUGUUCUUGACGCUGAGGCGCGAAAGCUAGGGGAGCAAACGGG
rnacentral:rRNA from 1 species